rnacentral:rRNA from 1 species
UAACUUAGUGGCGGACGGGUGAGUAACGCGUGAGUAACCUGCCCUUCAGAGGGGGAUAACGUCCUGAAAAGGACGCUAAUACCGCAUGAUAUAUUUGUGCCGCAUGGUAUGGAUAUCAAAGGAGCAAUCCGCUGGAAGAUGGACUCGCGUCCGAUUAGCUAGUUGGAGGGGUAACGGCCCACCAAGGCGACGAUCGGUAGCCGGACUGAGAGGUUGAACGGCCACAUUGGGACUGAGACACGGCCCAGACUCCUACGGGAGGCAGCAGUGGGGGAUAUUGCGCAAUGGGGGAAACCCUGACGCAGCAACGCCGCGUGAAGGAAGAAGGUUUUCGGAUUGUAAACUUCUUUUCUAAGGGACGAAGAAGUGACGGUACCUUAGGAAUAAGCUCCGGCUAACUACGUGCCAGCAGCCGCGGUAAUACGUAGGGAGCAAGCGUUGUCCGGAUUUACUGGGUGUAAAGGGUGCGUAGGCGGCAAUGCAAGUCAGAUGUGAAAUGCACGGGCUCAACCCGUGAGCUGCAUUUGAAACUGUGUUGCUUGAGUGAGGUAGAGGCAGGCGGAAUUCCCGGUGUAGCGGUGAAAUGCGUAGAGAUCGGGAGGAACACCAGUGGCG